rnacentral:misc_RNA from 1 species
GAUGAAGAACGAAGCGAAAUGCGAUAAGUAAUGUGAAUUGCAGAAUUCAGUGAAUCAUCGAAUCUUUGAACGCACAUUGCGCCCCUUGGUAUUCCGAGGGGCAUGCCUGUUCGAGCGUCAUUAUAACCCCUCAAGCUCAGCUUGGUGUUGGGGCCUGCUGCACUGGCAGCCCUUAAAAUCAGUGGCGGCGCCAUCUGGCUCUAAGCGUAGUAAUUCUUCUCGCUAUGGAGUCCUGGUGGAUGCUUGCCAUCAACCCCCAAUUUUUCUAUGGUUGACCUCGGAUCAGGUAGGGAUACCCGCUGAACUUAAGCAUAUCAAUAAGCGGAGGA